rnacentral:rRNA from 1 species
CCCUUAGAUGUUCUGGGCCGCACGCGUGCUACACUGAGUAAAUCAAUGGGUAAGGGAACACGAAAGUGCAACCUAAUCUUCAAAUUUGCUCGUGAUGGGGAUCGACGGUUGCAAUUUUCCGUCGUGAACGAGGAAUACCUUGUAGGCGCGUGUCAUCAUCACGCGCCGAAUACGUCCCUGUCCUUUGUACACACCGCCCGUCGCUCCUACCGAUUGAGUGAUCCGGUGAGGCUCUGGGACCUGGACGGAAAGAGCGUUUCGCUUGUUCUGUUUGGGAAACUUGGUCGAACCUUAUCAUUUAGAGGAAGGAGAAGUCGUAACA